CCAGCCAUGAUGGAGUGGAGCUGCAGAGUAGGGGCAGCGACAAAGGGAAGAAGUAGACAAGGGAGGAGCGGAGAAGGUCGUCUCCCGCGCUGCACCGCAGACAAGAGGGUGGCGGGCGGCAGUCGCCGUGGCGGAAGAGAGGAAGACGAGCUGCCACGCAGGGGAGAGGAAGGAAAGUUGCGCCCAUAGUGAAAGCGAGGCAGCCCAAGGCUAUCGCGGAGAACGAGGAGGGGCGGCGCUGCCACGGAGGAGAGCGACGAGGGUUGCGGCGUCGCUGCAGAUGAGGAGGUGAGCCACUACACCGCACGAUUCCAGGCAAAGGAAAUGAAGCGCAGGCGCAGUGCCGCUGCCGCUGCCGGAUUUUCUCCCGGGUCAUGGGAGGCGUUUGGGAGGAUCGACUAGGAAGGAUCGAACGGCACCUGGAGAAGACCUGCACAAGGGUGCCACAAAGAUCUCCAAGGACGUCCUCGACUCUGCCGGACAACAGAUUCCUUUACAAAUUCGAAGCCAGAACUCAAAAAAGAAAGGGCAAGGAAAUGAAGGGCGCAAGACUACUAGAGGCAAAGACAGGCGAACACGGCCGGAGCAGUAUGGUGACGUCGAUGGGUGUGGAGGAGUGUGUGAAGACGCUGCAGAGCACUGCUGAGGAGCUUGUCAGCAGGACGAGCUGCUCCCGCUGCUGCAUGGCAACCCAGCCGGAUCUGCCUCGACAGGUUCGAGCCCUCCGUCACUGGCCCCGUGCAC